rnacentral:rRNA from 1 species
UACGUAGGGGGCAAGCGUUAUCCGGAUUUACUGGGUGUAAAGGGAGCGUAGACGGCGAUGCAAGCCAGAUGUGAAAGCCCGGGGCUCAACCCCGGGACUGCAUUUGGAACUGUAUAGCUAGAGUGUCGGAGAGGCAGGCGGAAUUCCUAGUGUAGCGGUGAAAUGCGUAGAUACUAGGAGGAACACCAGUGGCGAAGGCGGCCUGCUGGACGAUGACUGACGUUGAGGCUCGAAAGCGUGGGGAGCAAACAGG